rnacentral:rRNA from 1 species
CAUGCCUACGGGGCGCAGCAGUGAGGAAUAUUGGUCAAUGGGCGGGAGCCUGAACCAGCCAAGUCGCGUGAGGGAAGACGGUCCUAUGGAUUGUAAACCUCUUUAGGCGGGGAGCAAUGCCGGGCACGUGUGCCCGGAGGGAGAGUACCCGCAGAAUAAGCAUCGGCUAACUCCGUGCCAGCAGCCGCGGUAAUACGGAGGGUGCGAGCGUUAUCCGGAUUUAUUGGGUUUAAAGGGUGCGUAGGCGGAUUUUUAAGUCAGCGGUAAUAUGUCGGGGC